rnacentral:rRNA from 1 species
CUACGGGAGGCUGCAGUGGGGAAUAUUGCACAAUGGGCGCAAGCCUGAUGCAGCCAUGCCGCGUGUGUGAAGAAGGCCUUCGGGUUGUAAAGCACUUUCAGCGGGGAGGAAGGCGGUGAGGUUAAUAACCUCAUCGAUUGACGUUACCCGCAGAAGAAGCACCGGCUAACUCCGUGCCAGCAGCCGCGGUAAUACGGAGGGUGCAAGCGUUAAUCGGAAUUACUGGGCGUAAAGCGCACGCAGGCGGUCUGUCAAGUCGGAUGUGAAAUCCCCGGGCUCAACCUGGGAACUGCAUUCGAAACUGGCAGGCUAGAGUCUUGUAGAGGGGGGUAGAAUUCCAGGUGUAGCGGUGAAAUGCGUAGAGAUCUGGAGGAAUACCGGUGGCGAAGGCGGCCCCUGGACAAAGACUGACGCUCAGGUGCGAAAGCGUGGGAGCAAACAGGAUUAGAUACCCGAGUAGUC